UACGUAGGGGGCUAGCGUUGUCCGGAUUUAUUGGGCGUAAAGAGCGUGUAGGCGGCCAGGUAGGUCUGCUGUGAAAACUCGAGGCUCAACCUCGAGACGUCGGCGGAAACCAUCUGGCUAGAGUCCGGAAGAGGAGAGUGGAAUUCCUGGUGUAGCGGUGAAAUGCGCAGAUAUCAGGAAGAACACCCGUGGCUAAGGCGGGUCUCUGGGCCGAUACUGACGCUGAGGAGCGAAAGCGUGGGGAGCGAACAGG
rnacentral:rRNA from 1 species